UCCACCCAGGUCACAGGUGCAAUUGAAUGGAGAGAAUGGUGCCUGGAGCCUGUGAGCUGCAAGUCUUUCUACAGGCUAAAGGAAAGGACUGAAACAGAUAUCCUUGUGUGCAAAGGACUAUGAAAGAAAGCCUGCUAAUAUUGGACAUUUGCUGGUUUUGUUGUUUGGCCUCAAGUGGACUGACCAGGCCUACUUUGGACACUGUAAAACCAAAGGACUUUCACAAGCUGAAUAGAUUGACUACGGAGAAUGAAGAGGCUCCUGGAAAUUCGCUUUUCAGCUGCAUGUUACUGUGUUUGACACCAUCUUAGCCUGUCUGCCUCGUGUUGAAGUUCUCUGCAAAAAAGAGAAAACUGGAGGGACUAAACCACCGCGCCAUUGAUCUUGAGCUACAUGCGGAGACGCUGGCUGAGUAUUUUGUUAACAAGCGC